ensembl:lncRNA
UUCUGUAUCAACAGGAAAUAAAACAUUUUUAUUGAUCAUUUGUGUAUAUGAAGUUAUAUAACAACAGUCAGAAAACUCCACAGAGUGAAUCACUACACAAAGUGAAACAAAACUGGAAAACACCUCAUCAAAAAAUGAAGGUAUACACAGCAAAUAUAACCGUCAGCAGGCUCGCCGUCACUGCGAGCGAUAUGGCAGGAAAAAACACCCCGAACAGUUCUACAAGAUUACAGAGAAAAUUUCCACACACAAAAUACUCAAGCAGGCAGUUGAUAUACACAAAGGCAACUAGGAUCUUUCUACAGCAUCAGAUUCUAAUACUUUACACAGCUUUGUUUUUGAAAGGUCAGUGUGGCUUUUUGUCGGUGUCACUGGAGAGAUUCUUCAGUUCCUUGUCACACAGAAGAGAGCUUGAAUUUAGGGUGUGGGUGUGGGGGGUGAUUAGGCGUGCGCACUUUUUUUGGUGGGGAAUCGCAGUAACUGGAGCAUUGCGCUGCAGCGCAGGUAAUGGCUUUUGCUUUGUAGUUUCCUCCACACGCCUCACAAUCCGAUGGGUUUUGCAAUGCUGCCCAUUUACUGAAUUCCCUGAUACGUUCGUGCACUUGUUAUAUUUUCAUAUAAUUCGGUUUGAUUUUCUCUCAGCUUUGAUUGGAUAAUUCCUUUGGUGCAACCUUUCUGCAUUAGUAUUCAUGUCAAAUUGCUUGGGCCAUUUUUGCAAAGACUGCACCUUUUACUUUAAUAUAUUUUUUUAUUAUUUAAAUCUGAAGCUGUACUGGAAUUCAUGGAUCUAUAUAUGGAAAACAUGUCAAAUAAAAGAGCUCCCCCAGCUGAAGAGGGAUUGGGAAUACAGCUGUAUUAAAGUAUGCUCAGUGAUAUUGGAAUGCUAUCACAGGGGAGGUUGUUUGUUUGUUUUUACCCCAUAGGAAUAUGAAAUGAAUCCAUAAUAGCUGAAAAAAUAUUAAAAAUAUGUUCUUUUAAACAACAAAAAGUGCAAAGUACAUCUAAUCUCACAAUUAAAGUAAUCUACACCAACACGGUCCUCACUGUACAUUCAGAGUUUUCAUCUCAAAUAGAAAAGGGGUUUUGAAUCAACAGGGAAGAUAAAAAAAUAAAAAAUAAAAAUACAUAAAUAAAAUAACUGUAAUGAAAAUGGAUUAACGAUGAUGAGAUAUAGCAUCUGGAUAAAAGCGAUAUUUUGCGGCUGAAUAAUCAUUCAGGUCACUUUAUAUUUAUUCUAGAUAUACAUUUUCUUUGACACGAUUAUGUAAAUAUAUACAUGGCAUUUUUAAGGGGAUAUCUAAAUGCAGAAUCUUGUUUGGUAUUUAACGAAGACUCCCUGAAACUUCUGAUGCUGGAACUGUGUGCAAGAAGAGAAAAUGAACCUGCGGAAAAGGGAGGGAACCCUAAACAGAGGUCAGCAGGUGUCAAGCUCCAAACUAUAAGCUGAAUCUAAGUGUGCUGUGUCCUAACCAUUUCACUGGAAAGGAGAAAACAUCUCUCUGGACUGGAUUCAUCCUCGAAGGGUUAUAAUCUCUUUUCUCGGGCAACGCCACCCACGUUAACACUAUGGGAUGAACAUACAAGUAUUGCACAGUGCUCAACAAAAUGCUGUGUGAAGCAACCCGCUCGCGCUCAGAUAAAAGCCUCCUUUUUUUUUUCCUUUUCUUUUUUUUGGUUGCGUGAAGUCAGGCGACGCCACGCUCUCUCUCUCUCUCUUGUUCUCUCUUUGCGUGUAGAAGGGAAAAAAUGGCAUUAAACGCUACGACAUCACUACAGAACAGACUGGUUUCGCUACCUACUGAUAAGUCUACAUCUCUAAGCACACACGGCAGUCACAGUGAUACACAAAGCAGUCCUCAGAAGACUCCUAUGGAAUGACAAGUAGCUUUUUCAUAAUAGUGCUAUCAACUACACAAUAACAUUGAAAACAUUUAGAAAGUCCUCCUGAAGCUAGCAUCGAGUAUAUGCAAGAGGUUCCUCCAAGAUAAGAGACUUCAUGGUUUUCAUGGAUUACAACUUACUCCUUUCCUAAUUGGACCCGUAGUAAAGGACAUAAUGAACUAAUAGCCUACGCAGACCAUUAACUUUUACGGUUAUUUCGUGCUCCCCUGGUGUAGUCCUGUGCCAACAAGAAAACAAAACUGAUGCAAUUGCUGUUGGCUGAAACGUGAUUUGUCAUCAUUGCUUUCUUUCUUUUUUUCUGUUUUUUUGUUGGGUUUUUUUGUAUUUAAUUAAUCCAAUCAAGCAGGAGGAUCUCUGGCUCCGCCCCCUGCCCCUCCCCUCCUGCAGGUGUCCUGAAAUAAAGCCGGCCAACAAUCGUCCAAAAAUGGUUUCUAAAGAAGUCAACAAGCUAGUUCAAAGACAUCCAGUGCAAAAUAGCAGCCACAUAAAAGUUAAAAUUGGCAGUAAAACAUGGCUAGCUCUAUUGUCACUGUGAGAAGGCAACGCAAAGCAAAGACUGCGAUUCAGGGCACCACUGCAGCCAAAGACAUUGUUCCCAAUAAACCAAAGCUACAACCACUAGCAAGUGGGAGUGUGCAUGAAGAGAGGGUCUCUACAUAAAGUCACCUCCCCGAAAAUGGCAGUGUUUAGACUAAACUCGCUUCACCUCUGUCAAUGUCACAUUGACACAAAGUUUAAACAUUACUCUUGAUUUCUUUUUUUUGUCCUCUCCUCUGAUUGAAGGCAAGGGGAUCCUAUCAGAAGAGCCUCCCCUGGUGUCAGUAGAUCCCCCCUCCCUCCCGUCCCAGCCUUUAGUAAAG